rnacentral:lncRNA from 1 species
GUGCUGAACCUGCAGCAUAUGGAAGUUCCAGGGCUAGGGAUUGAAUCAGAGCUUCAGCUGCUGGCCUACGCCACAGCCACAGCAACACGAGAUCUGAGCCAAAUCUGCAACCUACGACUCACGGCAACACUGGAUACUUUAACCCGCUAAGCGAGGCCAGGGAUCAAACCCGCAUCCUUAUGGAUACUGGUCAGUAUCCAUGAUUCUUAACCUGCUGAGCCACAAUGGGUACUCCAGAUAGUUCAGUUUCAGUGUUGGAUGAAUAUCUGAUAUUAUUAUAGUGGUCCUGGCUCUGGUCCCUUGCUAUAUGUGGUUAUCAAAGUGUCUAACUUGGAGUCCAGGAGGUUUAUGGCUUCGACCCCCACGUAUAGCUACAUGUUUCUGUUCCAUUUCUGGCUCACAGAGAAAUGUUUAUUAGUCUUUUCAGCAAGUCUAUGUCUAUUUAAUUCAUAUAUGUAAUUAUAUAUACUUACAUAUAUACAUGUGUAUAUAUAUGUGUAUACACACACGUAUUCUACCUAUUAUAGAUGUAGACUUAGAGUAAUAAGAUAUAAACUCACAGAAUCAACUUGCUGGUGACCUCUACUCCUUUUUAAUUUUUUGUGGAGAAGCAUAAUUUUGCAGCAUUUAUAUGAGCAAGGCUCAUUUUGUGCUUAUAAAUAUAAUAUACAAUAUAUGUAAAGUCUCAGUGACUAAGAAGCUAGUUCUCUUUUUAUUUAGAAAAAAUACACAAUUCUUCAAAAGAAAUAAAGAAUUAUCUUCUUUAGAGAAAAACUUUCCCUUCCAGACAUUGGGCAGGGGGGAGUAUUGAUCUCUCAUAGAGUAGAUGUCUGGUUCUGACCAGUAAAAAACAUGCACGUGUGUUUUAUUAGAGAGAGAACCAGUGUCUUAGAGUUAUUGACACUCAAGGUCUCUAGCUAGAAUUUAAUUCUAUAGCCUAAUUUUUGAAGUGUUUAUAGUUACAUUCUAUGAUGUUAAGAAUGUAGAAGAUUAUCACGAGAGCAAUAAAAUUUUCUAUAAUGGAAAAAAAAAUAAAAAUCAUUAUANCUGUACAGCACUGUAAACCAACUAUAAUGGAAAAAAAUAAAAAUCAUUAUAUAAAAAAGUAAUAAUCUCCAAAUAGAUUAAAAAAUUGAGGCACAAUAAAUAACACUAUUAAAUAAUACUUCAUAUAGUAAAGUAAUAAUCAAAAGUCAUAAAGGUGGUAAGUAAACCAAAUGUGAGAAGCACUGGCAUAAUAGAAUUGAUAGCUCAACUUAAAUUUCUUGACCUAAAAUACAAACAGAGGUCUAUACUCACCUUUUGAAUCAAGGGCAAGCCCACCUGCAGCAAACCUGCAGCUGUGGUUGCUUCCUCUUAUAUAUCAUUCUUUUCCCUAAUCUUUCUCCUUUCAGUCAGGGUUGAUAAACUGUAGCUAAUCUCAGAGGGUCAAGGUGUUGCCAAUUCUAUAGGGUAAAAAUACUUUCAAAGAGAUGUUUGGAGGAAAGGCAUUGUUAACCCAAGGAAUGCAUAAAUUAUAUAAUUUCAGGCAGAACGUCAAGCAACCUUGAUGGGCAUCUGAACCUCAUUCAUGAUUUAAUCCAUGAAGGGCAAAUGGCUAUUAACACCAAUUUAUGGAUAGCUGCUUUUUUUUUUUUUUCCCAGGGCCACUCCUGCAGCACAUGGAAGUUCCAGGGCCAGGGGUCGAAUCAGAGCUAUGGCUGCUGGCCUAUGCCACAGCCACAGCAAUGCCAGAUCUGAGCCACAUCUGUAACCUACACCACAGCUCACAGCAAUGCAGGAUCCCUGACCCACUUAGCAAGGCCAGGGAUUGAACCUGCAUCCUCAUGGAUACUAGUUGGAUUCAUUUCCCCUGCACCACAAUGGGAACUCCUGGAUAGCUGCUUUCUAUACUGCUGUGUUCAGAAGGAUUCUGAGGGGAAAACUGGACUAUUAAGAAUGAGUGCCAUUGAGCAUAGAUGUGUGAAGUACCAGAAUUUGUGCUAUGUGUGAGCUAUCCUUGAUUAAGAGAGGAAUAAAUAGUCCUGAUCUUCUACGAUCUCAGAUGUCUAAAAAGGAGUCCUUGCCUAGAAUGCUUCAGUAUAAGCCAGUAUAUUUCAGAAAAUCAUUUUAAAACAAAUGGAACAAAGCAUGAUUUAUGUUAUUCCAGGUAUGUUUAUUGAAAAAAAAAAACCUCCUUUCUUACAGUAAAACUAAAUGAAAAUACUUGAAGAUAACUGAAUAGGGGGAAGUUAAAAAAAAAAGUGGCCAAUAUUUGGUAGCUUUUUAAUAGAGCAAUUUCAUUUUAAAAAGUAUCAAUCCUAGAGAAAAUGCCGUUCCAGAAAAAAAAAAGUAAGUUGUCAUAGUAACUCAGUGUUAGAACCUCCACACAGACCAAAUUUAGCAGAGCUAUACUUAUUGCUUAAUUGUACAAACUAUUCGUUUGGCAAAAGGAAAGAAGACAGGAAAUGAGAUUUGUUUUGCACCUACUGUGUGUGAGGUGGAUUACACAAUUUCCUCAUUAAUCACCAUAAGAAUCCAGCUAAGAAGUUAUUAAUACCUUCAGUUUUACAGGUAAAGAAUUUGAGGUCCAGAGUGGCCAUUUACUUGCCUUAUAUCGCAGUAUAAUUGGAGGAGCAGGGCUCUGAAUGUAGGUCUCCCUAAAGCCCAUGAUUUAAUUUUUUUUUUUCUUUUUAUGGCCUCACUGGCAUAGUUCCAGGGUUAGGGGUUGAAUUGGAGCUUCACUGCCACCAUAUCUGCAACCUACACUUCGGCUUUUGGCAAUGCCAAAUCUUUAACCCACAGAGCGAGGCCAGGGAUCGAACCUGCAACCUCACGGACACCAUGUUGGGUUCCUAAUCCACUGAGCCACAACAGGAACUAUCAAAAGCCUAUAAUUUUCAAGGACUUUGAAUAACCCUACUUGCUUCCUCCCUGAACCACACUAUCUGGAGGCUACAGAAAGACACCACUGCUAUUUUGAAAGGCAAGGGUGGUUCAAGGAACAUCAGGGUCUUUUACACUAAAGAGAUAAUACGAAGUGAAAAGGGCAGUUUCUUUAUCAACAAUAUUGCUCACUAGAGAAUUGGUGGACUGCCCCUCUUCUUUCUAGGUGACAGGAAGAUUCACGAGGGAAGCGGCUGAACAAUUUCUUAUUUGUCUUGUUCAAACUUGUUCCAACAUCAACAAAAUUGCUCUCAAAUCAGACAUUUUAGAAUUGGACACAAAUCAUUAAUUCCAAUUUAUAUGUCUCUCUUUUAUUAGAGAAAUAUUUAUUUAGUGUCACUAUGCAUCCAGGACUGUGCUAGCUCUUUGGGACUAUAGAAAACCAGUCCAGUAGGAUAAAACUUUCUUCUGCCAAUGACAUUAGCAACACUUCUCAAGUUUGCCAAGGGCAAACAAGGCCACUGAAAACCCCUGGUCUCCUUUCACACAUCAAACUAUCCCCCAAUUCAACUAAGUCUUUGCUCAAAAAUUGAGUCCUUUGUCCUCAUGGGAAAUACCAAUGUGAGCCAUCUUGAAGUUUGGUCACCUGUGGACUCUUAGCAGACAAGGAGGUAAAGCCAGCUGACUAAGUACUAAUAGAGAAUUUGAUCCGAGUGGGAGUUAGAUGAUCUCUCUCAUUUCAAGAUGCUUUAAGGAAUCAGUGAAAGAGCAACUGAAAUGUAGUGUGUCAGUACUGGAGGCCUGUGAUUGGCCCUAUCAGCCACAGGAGAUGGGGAAUCCCAUUGACCUAGUUUGCUAUAGACUCGCAGCGCUAGGGAUUAGCCUAGCCAUGGCUUAUGUGUUGAUAGGAUGAGGUGAAUUGGGUUCCAGCCUAGUUCCCACAUGGCAUUAGAGAGAGAAAUGUCUUCGACAACCACCCACACACUAUGGAAUAAACCAAAACUUUUCAAUCAGAUUUUGGCAUCAAAUCACUGCCUCCCCCAAUCUCCUGCUAUUCCUCAAUAUAAACCCUGUGUUAUAAGCAGGUGCUUUCUAGCUCUGUGACUGUAGAUAAAUUAUUUUCUUUUCCUUUCCCUUUCCCUUCCUUUCCCUUCCCUUUCCUUUCUUUUUACUUCUUUCCUACCUCUCUGAGUCUCAGUUUCUCCAUCUGCAAGAUUGGAAAGAUUUAGCACCAUAUUUGCUAAAUUAAAGAAUAAAUUGAAAGCAAGUCUGGAGUUCUCUUAGGGCACAGGGGGUUAAGGAUCCAGCAUUGUCCAUGCAGCAGCUUGGGUCGCAGCCAAAACCAAAAAGUUUAAAAUACCAACUAAUAUAUGAGAAGUUCCUAGAAAAAAGUUCUCAAGUUCUUAGGUGAUUAAAUAAAUGAACAUAAGUAAAGCACAGUAGCACUACCAAUCUUUUUGCUCUUGACAGCAGCUAGACUUGCAGCUCAGCAAAGGCAAACAUGUGCACCUAAUACCUGUCUAUUUUAUCACACAGCAAACCAUUCCCCAGUGAGACUAAAUCUUUGUUCAGAAAUUGAAUCAUUUGCACUCGAGGGAAAUUCUUAUCUGAGCCAUCUUAAAAUCUGGUCACAUGAACCCUCAGUAUGAUUUAAGCAUUCCUGCCUCCAUGUCUGACUCCUGCCUAAAAAAGUUUUCCCAUUCUUCAUUGUUGAGGCAAGUUCAAGUCAUGUAUUGUAAAGCCUAUGAUAAAUCCUACCCAGCCAUGAAUCCUGUACUGCUCUCCACAACCCACAAGAAUCCCUUUAUUGUAAAUACCACUCACCUUGACACAUAUUUAUCACAUAUUUCUCUGAUAUUUUCAUACAAGAUGUUUCUCUCAUUGAGAAGAUUCAGCCUUGUGAGGACAGUGAUAAAUUGCCUACUUUAUUUUUAAAUCUCCCCAUGCAUCUACCUAGAACAAUUGUUGAGUUUCCAUGGUUGUGUCAGUUGAUGCCUUAAAGGGCUAGUUAAGCCUUUAAAACAAUCAGAGAGGCUUAUUCAUAAGGUUUGAGCUUCAACUACCCAAGCACUUCCCUGCCCAUAUUAACUGCUAUUGAUAUAAACAGAGAACUUGGUCAUGGAAUUUGAGUCUGCCACUGGACAGUCACUGUUAUGCAAAUCUGGUACCCAUCCCUGUUCAUGAACAUGACUGCUAUUUUUCAUGACGGACAAGAUUUAGGUAUCCAUUCUCUGCUUGCUUAACUUGCUAUUAGACUAUAUCCCAGUCUUCCUCUGCCAGCCUUUCUUCUUCCCACCAACAGUUGUUGAGUGCCUCCCUCAUGAUAGAUGCUUUGUUAGAUGCAGAAGAUACAACGAAAAACAUGAUAACAAGGGUCCCACCUUCAUAAACUAGAAGUGCAUCUGGGACUAAAAAUUCAUAGCAACCAUGAUGUUCUGAACAAUCUCAGAGUGACUGAGAAUAGAACUAUCUUUGGAGAAACUCACAGUCCUGUCCUAUUUUUAGUUGGAAACAGCAAUGCACUCUCACCCUUGAAACUAACCACUUCCCAGAGAUCACAGGAAUCUGCCCAGGCUGCUCCAUGAGAAAAAUUCAGCCUGUUAACUGUGGAUAUGAAUGCAGUUCCUUACUGUCUUUAUUAACAGAGGAGUUAUUUCAAUGCAAAUGUUGGUAAUGCAAUCGAUAGUUCAAAAACAAAAUGCCUUAUUCCUUAUAUAUAGAGCUGACAGCCUGGAGACAAUGUAGCUGGAUAGUCACUAAAAUGUCUGAGGAGGGGAUAUCAUUUUCCCCCAUCUCCCAAAGCAUCCUGGUAUUCAAAACUCAUCUGUAUUUCUAGACGCAAACAAUUCCCUUGUUUGGAUCACCAAAACAAGAAACAUCUUCUCACAUAAUUAAAACAUGCAGCUCUUCCAAGACGGCCACUCGGAUGCUAGCUAAGAAAGGCGCAAUCCGUACUGAAGAAGAAUUAUGCAUGAGUUAGGGCUGAGAGUUACACUUGGGUAAAAUCCUCAAUUACUGUAGCUUCAUUAAUGCAUUCUCAGUGUCUUACUGCUGAGUGACUGUUCUGAAUAAAUUGUGCUCUCAUGCAUGCACUCAAAGAAAUGACGAAAUUCUGAAUGAAUAAGCAGUCAGCGCCCAGGAGAGAUUCUUGAGGCUACAGUUACUCAGAACUUCCUGUAUUUGCCACAAUGGGGGAAGAAUAUGGAAGUUUCAUAGAACCACACAAUCUCAGGGCUAGAACAGACCCUAGUGGUCAUUUGGUCACCCCUUCCCAGGUCCUCCCCCACCCAAUGGAUGAAUCUUCUCUACCCUCAUCUCCAAGAAAUGGUCACAGAGGAUUGCAAUUCUUAUCACAAGAACCUUGCUACCAUUUCCUGACAUGUUCCUUUUCAUUAAUCAUUAUGAAAUUCUUUAUUUAUGCUAAGCUAAAAUCUAUCUUCCCAGAGGUCCUCAUUUUCCUCUCUAGGUCCACACAAAGUCAUUCUAAUCCUUCUUUCAAGUAACAGUUCUCUCAAUAUUUAAAGAGCUGUCACACAUUUCAUCCUGUGAAAUAUGUACAGUGAUGUCAAGGAGAAUGAGGGCUGUGAAAAGGUCGUGGCACCUCUACGUCGGGAAAGCUAUUAGGGAACCAUGACCAUUGGGUUUCAUCAGCAUGGAAGACACAGAGAUACGAGGAGGCCAAGCAGGGUACCCUUUAACCACCAGCUUCACUUCCUUCCUUCCUUCCUAUUGAUAUAUCCCCAAUUUUCUCAUUCCUCAGUAGAUAUCCCUG